UACGUAGGGGGCAAGCGUUGUCCGGAUUUAUUGGGCGUAAAGAGCGUGUAGGCGGCCAGGUAGGUCAGCUGUGAAAACUCGAGGCUCAACCUCGAGACGCCGGUUGAAACCAUCUGGCUAGAGUCCGGAAGAGGAGAGUGGAAUUCCUGGUGUAGCGGUGAAAUGCGCAGAUAUCAGGAGGAACACCGGUGGCGAAGGCGGAUCUCUGGGCCGUAACUGACGCUGAGGAGCGAAAGCAUGGGGAGCGAACAGG
rnacentral:rRNA from 1 species